rnacentral:rRNA from 1 species
AGUAACGGCGAGUGAAGCGGCAACAGCUAAAAUUUGAAAUCUGGCCUCUUUGGGGUCCGAGUUGUAAUUUGUAGAGGAUGUUUCGGGUACCGCCUCGGUUUAAAUUUCUUGGAACAGAAUGUCAGAGAGGGUGAGAAUCCCGUCUUGGACCGGCGGUAGGGCCCAUGUGAAACUCCUUCGACGAGUCGAGUUGUUUGGGA